UACGGAGGGUGCAAGCGUUGUCCGGAAUCACUGGGCGUAAAGGGCGCGUAGGCGGCUCAUGAAGGCUGUGGUGAAAGUCCGGGGCUCAACCUCGGAUCGGCCGUGGCGACUCGUGGGCUGGAGCACUGUAGAGGCGGGUGGAAUUCCGGGUGUAGCGGUGGAAUGCGUAGAGAUCCGGAAGAACACCAGUGGCGAAGGCGGCCCGCUGGGCAGUGGCUGACGCUGGAGGCGCGACAGCGUGGGGGAGCAAACAGG
rnacentral:rRNA from 1 species